rnacentral:rRNA from 1 species
CCCUGCAGUUUUAGCUUGGUUUCCGACUGAAGCCAAGCAGGUUUGAGUCUGAUUAGUAUCUGGAUGGGAGACUUCCUGGGGUAAACUAAGGUUGCUGCUGGAA